rnacentral:tRNA from 1 species
GGGAAGGUGGCUCAAUGGUAGAGCACUUGCCUUGCAUGCAUGAGGCCCUGGGUUCGAUUCCUCCGCACCA